AGCCGAAUGUAUAUGGUAAGAAAUAUUAGAUAUAUUCCUUUCUCGAUUUGAUUGAUUGCUUGCAAGAUUUCCCCGAUCUAUGAUUUUAGGAUGUCAAAUAACUUGGAGCCAGCGGGAAAUCUUUGAUUCCCUCCAUAAUUUUGUAGUCUUGACUAGGCAGUUACUUGUGUAGCAACCCCUAGGACUUCAAUAUAAAUUUAGGGUUCCCCGUUUGAAGCAUAAUACACUCCAAUAUCUUUCGCCGCUGCCGUCCUCAAGGGCGCAAGCACUAGAGGUGAUAACUUUCAAAUUGCAGACGCAUAGAAUUCUUUCAAGAGGCCGACGCAAGGUGACAUGUAGAAGAGUGCCGAGAGGAGUGUUCCUGAUGGACCUAGGGAAGCAAAGCAGCUGAUCCACGAAGCCUUGUCCAUGAAUGAGAGGUCCAAACCAAGUCCAAUAUGGAGAAGAAGAUAUAAAUUCGGCAGAAUUUCAAGAAUAUCCAAGCCUUGCAAAUCCAGAUUAAAUCGGGAGAAUUCUUGUGCACGUCUGUCAACUUCAACGGACUCUCCAGGACAGCUCACAAUGAAUCAGAAAACGUGCCAGAUAUGGAUAGAGAGCUACGGGAGUCUAGUUUCCGAAUCAAUUGGAAUCACCUCAAUAUCUAUUUUCUAGAGGGAGUUAUGAAGUAAUCAUCAGACGGAGGUCAUUCUGCCGAAAUUGAGAAGAACUAGGAAUCCUAAACCAACUUGGUUUAGGCUUUGUGGCCGACUUCUCUAGGGUUUUUCCUCUAUAUAAAGCACGACUUCAAGAGCAGAAAAACAUCAUCUCUACUCUUGCAAUUACAUAGCCGAAACUCUACCAAACCCUAUACAGAAAAUUACUUAGCCGAUUCAUCCACCACAAACCAUAAGAAUCAUUCCAUCCUUCCACCGAUUUUCCCCACAGUUGCCGAACCUUUCAAGGUUGUAAAAGUGUGAUUUUCUCAUGGCUUCUUGUAUUAUUUUCUGUAUAGUUUCGAACUCUAUUGUAAUAUACUUUUCGAUUUUGGUUUUAUUUAUCAAACAUGGUUUUCGGAUUUCUUUGUGAUCUUUGAUUGUUCUAUGUUUUGAUUUGUAACUUCUUGAAUAUAUGAUGAUUUCGUGAUUUAGGUUUUAGGG